GCUCCCUGGAGACCCCGCCCGCUAGCCGGGAGCCAGCGGCGCAGUGCGAGUUCAGCCCGCUUUCUUCGCGCUCCGCGUCAAAUCUCUCCAGCUCUGUUCUCGCAUCCCGCAGGGUUUAGAUCCCGCAGAGUUAAGUAUCCCGCGUGUGAAGGGAUGAACUGAGACUCCCAGAGGGCAUAACUGAUGGAGGCACGAAGAUGUCUGCUCUUCAGCUUUGCCAAGGUGAUAUUAAAAUGAGAGUGGGGGAAGUAUAAUGGGUCCAUACAUCACUUGCCUGAUUUCUUCUUUUCCAUUGCUUUUCCAAAGGUAGUAUGGUGUAAGGGGCUUUGGGGAAUCCAGACAGACCUGGACUUCACACGCCCGUCAUUUAUUUCACUACUAGUGAAAUGCUGGCGUAGUUACGCCUAAGUUCUCUGAGACUGUCCCUCAUCUCUAAAACCACCCCUCCUCUGGUGAACUAAGGAUGGCGAUAACGCUUUAUGUAAAGUGCCUGGCCAGAUACUCAAUAAAUGUUAAUUUUCCAAGCUUA
rnacentral:lncRNA from 10 species